CGGGGAAUAUUGCGCAAUGGGGGCAACCCUGACGCAGCCAUGCCGCGUGAAUGAAGAAGGCCUUAGGGUUGUAAAGUUCUUUCGGUAUUGAGGAAGGUUGAUGUGUUAAUAGCACAUCAAAUUGACGUUAAAUACAGAAGAAGCACCGGCUAACUCCGUGCCAGCAGCCGCGGUAAUACGGAGGGUGCGAGCGUUAAUCGGAAUAACUGGGCGUAAAGGGCACGCAGGCGGUUAUUUAAGUGAGGUGUGAAAGCCCUGGGCUUAACCUAGGAAUUGCAUUUCAGACUGGGUAACUAGAGUACUUUAGGGAGGGGUAGAAUUCCACGUGUAGCGGUGAAAUGCGUAGAGAUGUGGAGGAAUACCGAAGGCGAAGGCAGCCCCUUGGGAAUGUACUGACGCUCAUGUGCGAAAGCGUGGGGAGCAAACAGGAUUAGAUACCCUGGUAGUCCACGCUGUAAACGCUGUCGAUUUGGGGGUUGGGGUUUAACUCUGGCGCCCGUAGCUAACGUGAUAAAUCGACCGCCUGGGGAGUACGGCCGCAAGGUUA
rnacentral:rRNA from 1 species